rnacentral:rRNA from 1 species
CUACGGGUCGCUGCAGUGGGGAAUAUUGCACAAUGGACGAAAGUCUGAUGCAGCAACGCCGCGUGGAGGAUGACACAUUUCGGUGCGUAAACUCCUUUUAUAUAGGAAGAUAAUGACGGUACUAUAUGAAUAAGCGCCGGCUAACUCCGUGCCAGCAGCCGCGGUAAUACGGAGGGCGCAAGCGUUACUCGGAAUCACUGGGCGUAAAGAGCGUGUAGGCGGAUAGAUAAGUCAGGAGUGAAAUCCUAUGGCUCAACCAUAGAACUGCUCUUGAAACUGUCUAUCUAGAAUAUGGGAGAGGUAGAUGGAAUUUCUGGUGUAGGGGUAAUAUCCGUAGAGAUCAGAAGGAAUACCGAUUGCGAAGGCGAUCUACUGGAACAUUAUUGACGCUGAGACGCGAAAGCGUGGGGAGCAAACAGGAUUAGAUACCCCGGUAGUC